AGCAGCCGCGGUAAUUCCAGCUCCAAUAGCGUAUAUUAAAGUUGCUGCAGUUAAAAAGCUCGUAGUUGAAUUUCGGGACCAGUAUGUUGGUCGUGCUUCGGUACGUACUGUCAUUACUGGUUUCUCCCUUCUGAAGAACCUUGAUGUCAUUAAUUUGGUGUCUUGGGGAAUCAGGACUGUUACUUUGAAAAAAUUAGAGUGUUUAAAGCAGGCAUACGCUUGAAUACAUUAGCAUGGAAUAAUGAAAUAGGACGUUUGAUUCUAUUUUGUUGGUUUCUAGGAUCGACGUAAUGAUUAAUAGGGAUAGUUGGGGGCAUUAGUAUUCAAUUGUCAGAGGUGAAAUUCUUGGAUUUAUUGAAGACUAACCACUGCGAAAGCAUUUGCCAAGGAUGUUUUCAUUAAUCAAGAACGAAAGUUAGGGGGAUCGAAGACGAUCAGAUACCGUCGUAGUCUUAACCAUAAACCUAUGCCGACUAGGGAUCGGAUGAUGUUAUUUUUAAUGACUCAUUCGGCGCCUUAA
rnacentral:rRNA from 1 species